CGCCCCUUUAGGAGUAGAGAACUUUGGUUAUCUGUUCUUAUGGGGAUCGGCGGACGGCUGAGUAACGCGUAGGAACGUACCCCAAAGUGAGGGAUAAGCACCGGAAACGGUGUCUAAUACCGCAUAUGGUCUUCGGAUUAAAGCAGCAAUGCGCUAUGGGAACGGCCUGCGUCGGAUUAGCUAGUUGGUGAGGUAAUGGCUCACCAAGGCGACGAUCCGUAGCUGGUCUGAGAGGAUGAUCAGCCAGACUGGAACUGAGACACGGUCCAGACUCCUACGGGAGGCAGCGGUUAGGAAUCUUCCACAAUGGGGGCAACCCUGAUGGAGCAACACCGCGUGCUGGAUGAAGGCCUUCGGGUCGUAAACAGCUUUUGUAUACGAAGAAUAUGACGGUAAUAUACGAAUAAGGGUCGGCUAACUACGUGCCAGCAGCCGCGGUCAUACGUAGGACCCAAGCGUUAUCCGGAGUGACUGGGCGUAAAGAGUUGCGUAGGCGGCUUAUUAAGCGAGUAGUGAAAUCUGGUGGCUCAACCAUCAACACAUUGCUCGAACUGAUAGGCUUGAGAAUGGUAGAGGUAGUUGGAAUUUCUUGUGUAGGAGUGAAAUCCGUAGAUAUAAGAAGGAACAYCAAUGGCGUAGGCAGACUACUGGACCAUUUCUGACGCUGAGGCACGAAAGCGU
rnacentral:rRNA from 1 species